GAGACGGAGGUCCUCUACAUCUCUACAGUGCAGCCAUGGCAACUACAGAUACAAUGUUUCCAGACCAAAGUGACUUUGAUUACGCUCCAGCUCAUCUGGAACCCAAAUUCCAAAGACAGAGGUGCCUCCUCAGACUGUAUAGAAAAUGUAGCAUAAACGUGAACGGGAGGAAGUUGUCACAGGAACCAUGCCAGCGAACACACACACACACACACACUUGAUGGCUGAUAUACCAGCUGGAUGAUCAAUAAACAGGGUUUUCCCAACAAAUCCUCACCUGGUUUCAUCAAGUCUUCCACUGAAUUCUGUUGAAAGUCUGACAAUAAAUCAACAAAAUAUCUAUCUACAGGUGGCACAGUGUUGUGUGAGUGGUGGCAAUAAAAGAAACAACUAUGAGACUUGAGAAGGUUCUUUUAAUCAAACAAAUGCAACAAUUCUUCUCUUUCUUACUUACAUUUGACUCCUGGGAGACAAUAAAAAUAAGAGCAUGAUUAAAUAUUUAGACAGGUAAAAACAAAAGCAGCAUGCAUCAAUCAACUGUAACAAUUGCCUUUAUUUUUCUUUAUUUCUGUUGAUAUGUACCUUUUUUUUUUAGCUUGACAAAAUAAUUAAGAAACCAAUAAAUGGAAUAAAUCAAAUUUCCAAAAUGUAAUAGCUAGCGUAGUAUGAAAAUUGAUGAAAAUUGAAAGUAAUGUGAUUAAUUUAAUUUUGGAAAAUGCUUUGAAGAAUAUUAGAAUGAAUGAGAUGUGUAUUUGUUUUAUUAUUUGUAAUUUAUUCUGUUUUAAUCAAAGGCAAAG